GGGUCAGUAGGUUGGUCAUGCCUCUGGUAUGUACUGGUCUCACUGAUUCCUCCUUCCUGAUGAACCUUAAUGCCAUUAAUUUGGUGUUGCGGGGAAUUUGGACUGUUACCUUGAGAAAAUUAGAGUGUUUAAAGCAGGCUAACGCCUAAAUACAUUAGCAUGGAAUAAUGAAAUAGGACGUUUGAUCCUAUUUUGUUGGUUUCUAGGAUUGACGUA
rnacentral:rRNA from 1 species